GGCAGGGGCGUUUGGCCAUCAAGUGGCAAUGGGAGGUCAGAGGGAGGGAGGAGGGUGAGGCGGGCACGUUAUUUUCCAGCCCUACCCUGUCCAGUCAUCGUGGGCUGCCUGUGCCCCUCAAGUCAAGCACACAGGUCCUGCUGGGCAUCUCUCUGAGGUGACCUUUCUCUCCCUCGCCUCUCAGCCAUUUGGGUGGUUAACAGCUCCUGGCUGGUACCAGUCUGAUGCCACUGUACUCUCCUUUGUGGUUUCUUCAAACCCUGCACAGUCACUAACUAAACUGUCCUAAAAUUACUCGCUUUGAGUACGCCAUCUGAGUUGCACCAGGACCUGGACUUGAAUGAAAUUGUAUUGUUGAUUAAUCUAUUAUUUCCUGCACUUAUUAAGCCUGUAACCUUUUUCUUUUUAAUUGAGGAACACCCUACAAUGUCCUACAGACCAUAAGUUUUGACUACAUACUUUGGUGAAUGCCUUCCUAGGACAGCAGCUUAGGAAGAGGAUUCUGGAAAAAUGGAGGCAGCCAGGCAGCUUUUCCACUCUUAACCCUGGAGCAUUUCCCCACAAGGACCUGGUGCUUCCACCCGAUGACCACAUCCAGUGGCUUUCAGUUAAGCCUAGAGUUGUACCCCCUUUGUGUACAGCGUCUUCUUUACCUGGAAACCCCUCUCCCUGCUCUUCUCCUAUCGAAAGGCCACGCUUUGAAAACUCCAGGCCACAUCACCAUUCACCUUGAACAUCACAGAAAGCACUGGGGCUCACCUUGGCCUCUGUCACUCACGUGGCCACUGUGGUUCACCUUAAGAAGUCAAUCAUGA
rnacentral:lncRNA from 1 species